AAAACGCGAUAAUUAAUAUAAAUUGCAGAAUUUAGUAAAUUAUCGAGUCUUUGAACGCACAUUGCGCCCAUAAGUAUUCCUUUAAGCAUAUCUGUUUAAACAUUAUUAUAACUCUUAGCUAACUACUGGUUUUGAACCUGAAUAGGUGAUACUAUGCCGGUUUUAAAGUUGUAAGCUCUGCUGGCUGCUCUACCCAACCAGAAUAUAGUAAGCAUUAUUUGUCCGGAUAAAGCUAAACGGUACGGCCUGAACAAAACCUACCCACUCUUAAGGUUUGAUCUUAGAUUAGACAAAAAUACCCGCUGAACUUAAGC
rnacentral:misc_RNA from 1 species